rnacentral:rRNA from 1 species
UACGUAGGGCGCAAGCGUUAUCCGGAAUUAUUGGGCGUAAAGAGCUCGUAGGCGGCCUGUCGCGUCCGCUGUGAAAUCCCGGGGCUUAACCCCGGGCCUGCAGUGGAUACGGGCAGGCUGGAGGCAGGCAGGGGAGACUGGAAUUCCUGGUGUAGCGGUGAAAUGCGCAGAUAUCAGGAGGAACACCGAUGGCGAAGGCAGGUCUCUGGGCCGAUACUGACGCUGAGGAGCGAAAGCGUGGGGAGCGAACAGG